rnacentral:sRNA from 1 species
ACAGAGAGCGAAAAAUGUGUUGAUAUCUGAUAUCUAUUUUGCAUGCUAAAAUCAUGAACCUAAGCUACCUCUUCAUGGCUUGUACAUAUUUCAUUUCAACAUAAUAUAUUGUUGUACAAAUUAUUCCCAAAUUUUUUUGAUACAUUUCUUUCUCUGUGUACGUGGUUGUAAAGUGCAAAGGGUACAGUGUUCUUGAGAAAAUUUCAAUAAAGCUGUCUAGUGUUGAUAAAUGAUUCGGCAAACAACGUGAAGUUGGAGGUUGGGUUCGUUCCAGCCCCCCAAUCCAAGGCCUGCACUUUCUGAUUGCCGCCCAUUGUGUGAUUCUGUGUGCCCCAGAUGAUUCCUGCCAGUCUGUAAGGGAGCAGACGGCCCCAGGACACGCCCACGCGCCUAGCAGGACGUUCAACCCCGAUCCUCCUGUCCCCCGCAACCGAUUAUGCGCUGCAUGGACGAGCGUCUGACACUCUGACAUCCUGACACCCUAGUGGUUGCACCCGUUAAUCGAAUGGAGCUGAAGUACCCAUGUUUUCUACGCUAGUAUGUACCAAAACUUUAAUAAACUUUCAAUGUGCAACAGC